GACGAGGGAUCCAAGCGUUGUUCGGAAUCAUUGGGCGUAAAGCGGGUGUAGGUGGCUUUGUAAGUCAGGUGUGAAAUCCCAGGGCUCAACCCUGGACGUGCAUUUGAUACUGCAGAGCUUGAGUGUGGGAGAGGUUACUAGAAUACCUGGUGUAGUGGUGAAAUACGUAGAUAUCAGGUGGAACGUCAAUGGCGAAGGCAGUCACCUGGCAUCAUACUGACGCUGAGGCGCGAAAGCGUGGGGAGCGAACAGG
rnacentral:rRNA from 1 species